rnacentral:rRNA from 1 species
UUAAGCGACUAAGCGUACACGGUGGAUGCCCUGGCAGUCAGAGGCGAUGAAGGACGUGCUAAUCUGCGAUAAGCGUCGGUAAGGUGAUAUGAACCGUUAUAACCGGCGAUUUCCGAAUGGGGAAACCCAGUGUGAUUCGUCACACUAUCAUUAACUGAAUCCAUAGGUUAAUGAGGCGAACCGGGGAACUGAAACAUCUAAGUACCCCGAGGAAAAGAAAUCAACCGAGAUUCCCCCAGUAGCGGCGAGCGAACGGGGAGCAGCCCAGAGCCUGAAUCAGUGUGUGUGUUAGUGGAAGCGUCUGGAAAGGCGCGCGAUACAGGGUGACAGCCCCGUACACAAAAAUGCACAUGCUGUGAGCUCGAUGAGUAGGGCGGGACACGUGGUAUCCUGUCUGAAUAUGGGGGGACCAUCCUCCAAGGCUAAAUACUCCUGACUGACCGAUAGUGAACCAGUACCGUGAGGGAAAGGCGAAAAGAACCCCGGCGAGGGGAGUGAAAAAGAACCUGAAACCGUGUACGUACAAGCAGUGGGAGCACAGAGCAAUCUGUGUGACUGCGUACCUUUUGUAUAAUGGGUCAGCGACUUAUAUUCUGUAGCAAGGUUAACCGAAUAGGGGAGCCGAAGGGAAACCGAGUCUUAACUGGGCGUUAAGUUGCAGGGUAUAGACCCGAAACCCGGUGAUCUAGCCAUGGGCAGGUUGAAGGUUGGGUAACACUAACUGGAGGACCGAACCGACUAAUGUUGAAAAAUUAGCGGAUGACUUGUGGCUGGGGGUGAAAGGCCAAUCAAACCGGGAGAUAGCUGGUUCUCCCCGAAAGCUAUUUAGGUAGCGCCUCGUGAAUUCAUCUCCGGGGGUAGAGCACUGUUUCGGCAAGGGGGUCAUCCCGACUUACCAACCCGAUGCAAACUGCGAAUACCGGAGAAUGUUAUCACGGGAGACACACGGCGGGUGCUAACGUCCGUCGUGAAGAGGGAAACAACCCAGACCGCCAGCUAAGGUCCCAAAGUCAUGGUUAAGUGGGAACGAUGUGGGAAGGCCCAGACAGCCAGGAUGUUGGCUUAGAAGCAGCCAUCAUUUAAAGAAAGCGUAAUAGCUCACUGGUCGAGUCGGCCUGCGCGGAAGAUGUAACGGGGCUAAACCAUGCACCGAAGCUGCGGCAGCGACGCUUAUGCGUUGUUGGGUAGGGGAGCGUUCUGUAAGCCUGCGAAGGUGUGCUGUGAGGCAUGCUGGAGGUAUCAGAAGUGCGAAUGCUGACAUAAGUAACGAUAAAGCGGGUGAAAAGCCCGCUCGCCGGAAGACCAAGGGUUCCUGUCCAACGUUAAUCGGGGCAGGGUGAGUCGACCCCUAAGGCGAGGCCGAAAGGCGUAGUCGAUGGGAAACAGGUUAAUAUUCCUGUACUUGGUGUUACUGCGAAGGGGGGACGGAGAAGGCUAUGUUGGCCGGGCGACGGUUGUCCCGGUUUAAGCGUGUAGGCUGGUUUUCCAGGCAAAUCCGGAAAAUCAAGGCUGAGGCGUGAUGACGAGGCACUACGGUGCUGAAGCAACAAAUGCCCUGCUUCCAGGAAAAGCCUCUAAGCAUCAGGUAACAUCAAAUCGUACCCCAAACCGACACAGGUGGUCAGGUAGAGAAUACCAAGGCGCUUGAGAGAACUCGGGUGAAGGAACUAGGCAAAAUGGUGCCGUAACUUCGGGAGAAGGCACGCUGAUAUGUAGGUGAAGUCCCUCGCGGAUGGAGCUGAAAUCAGUCGAAGAUACCAGCUGGCUGCAACUGUUUAUUAAAAACACAGCACUGUGCAAACACGAAAGUGGACGUAUACGGUGUGACGCCUGCCCGGUGCCGGAAGGUUAAUUGAUGGGGUUAGCGCAAGCGAAGCUCUUGAUCGAAGCCCCGGUAAACGGCGGCCGUAACUAUAACGGUCCUAAGGUAGCGAAAUUCCUUGUCGGGUAAGUUCCGACCUGCACGAAUGGCGUAAUGAUGGCCAGGCUGUCUCCACCCGAGACUCAGUGAAAUUGAACUCGCUGUGAAGAUGCAGUGUACCCGCGGCAAGACGGAAAGACCCCGUGAACCUUUACUAUAGCUUGACACUGAACAUUGAGCCUUGAUGUGUAGGAUAGGUGGGAGGCUUUGAAGUGUGGACGCCAGUCUGCAUGGAGCCGACCUUGAAAUACCACCCUUUAAUGUUUGAUGUUCUAACGUGGACCCGUAAUCCGGGUUGCGGACAGUGUCUGGUGGGUAGUUUGACUGGGGCGGUCUCCUCCUAAAGAGUAACGGAGGAGCACGAAGGUUGGCUAAUCCUGGUCGGACAUCAGGAGGUUAGUGCAAUGGCAUAAGCCAGCUUGACUGCGAGCGUGACGGCGCGAGCAGGUGCGAAAGCAGGUCAUAGUGAUCCGGUGGUUCUGAAUGGAAGGGCCAUCGCUCAACGGAUAAAAGGUACUCCGGGGAUAACAGGCUGAUACCGCCCAAGAGUUCAUAUCGACGGCGGUGUUUGGCACCUCGAUGUCGGCUCAUCACAUCCUGGGGCUGAAGUAGGUCCCAAGGGUAUGGCUGUUCGCCAUUUAAAGUGGUACGCGAGCUGGGUUUAGAACGUCGUGAGACAGUUCGGUCCCUAUCUGCCGUGGGCGCUGGAGAAUUGAGGGGGGCUGCUCCUAGUACGAGAGGACCGGAGUGGACGCAUCACUGGUGUUCGGGUUGUCAUGCCAAUGGCACUGCCCGGUAGCUAAAUGCGGAAGAGAUAAGUGCUGAAAGCAUCUAAGCACGAAACUUGCCCCGAGAUGAGUUCUCCCUGACUCCUUGAGAGUCCUGAAGGAACGUUGAAGACGACGACGUUGAUAGGCCGGGUGUGUAAGCGCAGCGAUGCGUUGAGCUAACCGGUACUAAUGAACCGUGAGGCUUAACCUU